AACUCAAUACACGUCUCAUUCUCAUUGUUAUCGUUUUCAUCUCUACAAUCCUCUUCUCUCCCUCCCCUCUCAUCCCAUGCAUCUACCUUUCUUUGCUCGCCCUUGCCUCCUCCGUCGAGAUCUCGGUUGAUUUCUCUGUUUCUCACUUUCCUAUUCACACCAGGUCGAAUCUCCUUCUUUUCUCUUAUUCUCUUCAAAUUCAUUCUCCGACAACUUCAACCUUAAAUUUUUGUUGAAAUUGCUUUGAUUAAUGCAUGUUGCUUCAAUUUUUUUUAGAGUUUUUUUUAUGAUUUGGGCAAUAUUUGUCAUUGCAAUACUAGGAAAUAUCUGCUUGAGGUUCACCGUGCUUUUCUUCCUUCCUUCCAACACCGUCCGCUCACUAAAAUCAUCCUCCGCAUCUAAACCUGAUAUUGAUGUUGCUGUUCAAGCGCUAAACAAUCUCUAAGUCGAGAUAUCCCUUCAAUCACUGCUUUCUGGUUCCAGUUCCGAUUCGCGUGAAGCUUUUCGUCAAUCUGUUAACAACGCGCUUGAACGCCGUUUGUUUAUAUUUCGUAGUUUAAGAUUUAUCGUGGUGUUGCUGGUUUUUAUGAUUAUGGUCCUCCUGCUUGUGCCGUUAAAUCUAAUGUCCUCUCCUUUUGGCGUCAGGUACAAGGUGCACAUUCAAGUGAUGGACAACACUGGUUCGACAACGUUCAUUCUGUUUGAUCGUAACGUGCAAAACUAUGUAGAUUUGAUUGAGGCAAACAGUCAGGGUAAACCCUCAAGCGAGUAUCCCAAUGAGUUGGAUAUUUUUGUUGGAAAACAAAUGCUAUUUAAGGUUGAAAUUACGGAUGGGAACUUAAUGCAUAAUUGGCGCAACUAUGCUGUCAAAAGGACAUCUGAUGAAUCAAUUUGUGACUCUUCACAACAUUACAAUGGCGAAUAUCCUGCUGAUCUGGAUUUGUUCAUAGACAAAAAAAUGUUGUUUAAAGUCGAGAUAACUGAUGGCAACUUGAAGCAUGGAUGGCGUAACUAAGUUGUGAAGCGGGUGUCUGAUGAUGUCGAUCUUAUUAAGAGAUUUGUAACUUUGCAUAAUAUUAAGGUUGGUCAUGAAGAUAUAGACGAAGAUACACACGACAAUAUGCUGAAUCUAUCCGGUGACACGCCAGUGGAGCAUAUUCAAAUUGAGGGCGGUGAUUCUACAAAAUCUGAUAACAAGAUGAAGGACAAUGAGAAUACACCAAGCAGUAAGGGAGUGGGAAGGAAUAAGGAUUGUGAAGACAUAACACCUAGCCGUAAGGGAGUGGAAAAUACUAAGGACAAUGACAAGACACCAAGCAGUGAGGUAAUUGGCAAGCGGAUGGACAAUGAAAAAACACCGAAGAGCAAGGGAGUUGGCAAGAGGACAACUGAUAGUGUGGGCUCUGAUUUUGACAAACCUGAAGUCGGCGAAGGGUCAAUUAACAAACCUAUGCCAGUGUCUAAGCGCAUUAAGACUUCGAAAGUUUAAAAAUCCCAUGUCAGUUGACUAUGCCUUUGUUUGUCUGCCUUGCAUCUAAUUGAGUAUUGUUGAUUCAGACAUAGUUUAAGUAGUGUCAACUUGUGCUUUUUGUGUAUCGUGGAUUGAAGCUCCUCCUUUUAUUUUCGAUGAUGUACUUUAAUUUUUCUGGAAUCGUAAUGAAUUAGCCACACUAA